AGUUACCAGCACGUUAUGGUGGGCACUCUAAGGAGACUGCCGGUGACGAAACCGGAGGAAGGUGGGGAUGACGUCAAGUCAUCAUGGCCCUUACGGCCUGGGCUACACACGUGCUACAAUGGUCGGUACAAAGGGUUGCCAAGCCGCGAGGUGGAGCUAAUCCCAUAAAACCGAUCGUAGUCCGGAUCGCAGUCUGCAACUCGACUGCGUGAAGUCGGAAUCGCUAGUAAUCGUGAAUCAGAAUGUCACGGUGAAUACGUUCCCGGGCCUU
rnacentral:rRNA from 1 species